GACUGCAACGUACAGCUUCGUAUGCGCUAGACGGGUGUACAGGGCGUACAGAUACAGUAUCAGGAUGAUUACGCCAACACCUACAUCGUGGUGACAGCGACAGGGCGCGAUUGGUGAAUUUGAUUUCUAGAAGAGCUGCUUCUGCAGCGAUCGCUACCACAGGCCCGAUAAACAGCCCAGCGCCUCUCCAGCUUACGAAGUCAUAGGUGAGACAGCUUCUGAUGCGCUGGAUUGGUGUACAGGACCUAAAGAUACAGCAUCAGGACGAUUACGACAACAGUACAUCGUGGUGACGGCGCCAGGGCGCGAUUGGCGGAUUUGGUUUCUGGAAGAGCUACUUCUGCAGUGACGGCUACCACAUGUCAUCUACUGUGGAGACCUAAGGUUUCUGAAAGAGAAUCGCGAGGCUGGCCAAACCAAGUUGGGCUCUAGGAACUUGCCAUCCGCUAAACGUUCAACGUCGCUGCCUUUCCGACAUUCUGGUGACAUGGCUUGACUGCAUCUCAUCUGUUAUGCAGGGGUGAGACAGCUUCUGAUGUGCUGGACGGAUCUACAGGACAUUACAGCGUCAGGACAACUACGGCAACACCUACAUCGUGGUGACGGCGACAGGGCGCGAUUGGCAGAUUUGGCUUUUGGAAUAGCCACUUCUGAUGCGCUGGACGGGCGUACAAAACGUGCAGGUAUAGCGUCGGGACGAUUACAACACCUACGCCGUGGUGAUGGCGACAGGGCGCAAGUGGCACUCUUGGUUUUUGGAAGAGCUAAAUGGCUGGGCGUACAGGACGUGCAGAUACAGCGUCGGGACGACUACGACAACAGCCAUAUCGUGGCGACGGCGACAGGGUGCGAUUGGGAGAUCUGGUUUCCGGAAGAGCUUCUUCUCCAGCGAUGACUGGGUGUACAGGACGUUCAGAUACAGCGUCGGGACGAUUACGACACCACCAUCAUGGUGACGGCGACAGGGCACGAUUGGCAGAUUUGGUUUCUGGAAGAGCUACUUCUGAUGCGCUGGACGGGUGUACAGGAUGUGCAGAUACAGCAUCAGGACGACUAUGACAACAGCUAGAUCGUGGUGACGGCGACAGGGCGGGAUUGACUGAUUUGGCUUCUGGA
rnacentral:lncRNA from 1 species